rnacentral:rRNA from 1 species
UGCCAGCCGCCGCGGUAAUACGUAGGGAGCAAACGUUGUCCGGAUUUAUUGGGCGUAAAGGGCUCGUAGGCGGUUCAACAAGUCGGUCGUGAAAGCCCGGGGCUCAACCCCGGGAUGCCGGUCGAAACUGUUGUGACUUGAGUUCGGUAGAGGAGAGAGGAAUUCCUGGUGUAGAGGUGAAAUUCGUAGAUAUCAGGAGGAACACCGAUGGCGAAGGCAUCUCUCUGGGCCGGUAUUGACGCUGAGGCGCGAAGGCGUGGGUCGCGAACGGGAUUAGAUA